rnacentral:lncRNA from 1 species
CAGUAGUGGAGGAUCAAAAUAACAAGAUUAUUAGAUAUAUUUACUAUUGUUAAAAAAUACUAUGAUUUAUUUAUCUGAGCCAUGCGACAUGCAAUCGUAGCCACGUAUGCUAGCACUUGAUAUAUCACAACUUGACUUCUAGGUUCCCUGAAAUUGUACUUAUGUUAAUUUAGUGUAAGAGAAAAAUAUUGUUCCUUCGCUAAAAAGUACUGCUCAAAUAGUGCUAAAUAAGAAUGAGUACGGUGCUCUAAAUGAAUAGCUACGGUUCUUCUUAUAGUCUAAUUUAAUAAACUAAAAAUAGAUAAUUUCUUUCUCAUUUUUCCAUUUAGUUUAUUUAGUUAGACUAGAGAAGAACUGCGAGUACAUAUUUGAAAGGUCAUCCCUAUCCUUAAUGGUAAAGAACAGGCUGUGUUAAACCCUAACGUCGGGCUUAAGGUGCAUGAUUAUCAACUUGCUAUGGCAACUACCUGCUGUUUUUUUAUGCUUCCUAAUGUCAAAGACUUAGUGCUCGUUCCAGCAUUGCAAUCGAUAAAAAAAACCUACAAUUGUUUUGGAGUACUUCUGAAAAGAGAAAAAAAAAUCCAAAUACUCCGAGGCCCCAAGGCGCAACCGCGACCCGACCAAAGAGCAGUCUGCGGUGACCAGACCGGAGGCGGAGGAGCGCGGUGGCCUGUGACUCUGUGAGUGAGGCCCCACCCACGCAGCGAACGGCAGCACUUAACCAUGCGUUACCUGCUGUUACCGCCGCUACCCCGAUAUUAUCAGGCCUUGUUUAGUUUAUAAAAAACAAAAAAUUCUAAAAUUUUCUAUCACAUCAAAUCUUGCGACAUAGAGAAUUAAAUAUAAAUAAAAAAUAAUUAUUAUACAGUUUAUCUAAAAGUUAUAAAAUAAAUAUUUUAAACUUAAUUAAUUUAUAAUUAUAUAAUAAUUACCAAAUUAAAACAAAAAUGCUCCACUGCCAAAAACUCAAAACCUCACUCCAGCAUAGCAGCGCCCACCGCCCAGCGCCCCAGGAACGCCGCCCUCCCUGGGCCGUGGGCCCCUUGGCUCUUUCUCGCGCUCGCCUUGCGAUGGUGGGCGGGAUCCGCUGCUCCGCCACGCGCGCUGUUACGGAUAUUUUCCGGGGUGAUCUCAUCUCCUCGGAUUUCCUUUACGGGAGAUCUAUCCUAACUACGACUUCCCCCACGACGGCCUACGGGAUAUCACCCACGACUACGCACGUAUCCGUGGAGACCGGUUCCACCUCCGUGAUAUCACCCACGACUCAUCGUGGGCACGAGUUUACUUGGGGCGAGAGUUUCCUCUCCCCCCCCCGACUGUAUAAAUACUCGUGAUCAAUGAAUAAACAAACACUCUGAGUUCAUUCUAUUCCUCUCUGUUCUCGUACUCUCGCAUUCUACUCGUAACACGUUAUCAGCACAUCGCUCUCCCCUGCCCCAGAGGUGAUAGCUCGGUUGGAUAGAACAUCGUCGAGGGAUCGACCUUCGCCCAGGGCAUCACCCCAAGGUAGAAUCAUGCCUUUCCCUCGCCGUAAUCCUGCCUCAAUGGCUUCUCUCAUCCUCCAAAUCGUCUGGAUGGCGAUGAACCGUGCCCGGACAUUGGGCACACACUUCGGCAACAACCGCCUUCAGGCGGAACUACUGGAGGACAUCCGGGAACUCCUUGGCGAGGCUCGCGGCUAUCGCUUUCGUGGCGAACGCCGUGAUCUCAACAGGAACCCCGGGCGUUUUCCUGUACGACGUCGUUUCGGGGGAAACCGACAUGCAAACGUCGGCCCUCCGUCACGACGUUCGGUGGUGUCGUCCACGGCCUCGCCCGCGGCGCCAUCCGCGGCUCCGCCCGCGGCACCACCAUCGAGGCCACCAACUCCACCGGCGCCUCCAGCGCCGGUCCUCGCCUUGCCGGCUCCACCCCGGCCUCGGUGCCCGCUCCACGGCGACGGCCCGUGCCCACCACCGCCACCAUCCAUGGUGGCCAGCCAAUGGCUGUCACUGGGCAUAGAUCCGCAGUCGCCAAUUCGGUACCCGAUGCCGACGCCGUCUUCCGAGCAGGCUGCGCACAGCCCGCCUCCGCGCCGUCCGUCUCCACCGACCAUCGCAGCGCGGAUGUCGGCGCCGACUCGUCUGCCGGCGUACAUCGUCGAUCAGGCGCUCGCUGCACCACCACCACCGCCACCACCUCCUCCUGCGCGCCUCCGUCGCACGUGGAUCAGCGUCCCCCACGGGCCUUCGGCUCGGGGACGUGCUCCUCCUGCUUGAGUCGUCCAUGGGGGAGGGGGAGGAGGAGGCGGAAAUGCCCCUGGCCGCGGCCUCAACGCGGCGUCCGCCGACCCCCGCGCGGUCCGGCGCUCGGCCUCUCGACGAGCACGGUCGCCUCGACGCAACAACGCCCCGCAAGGCGACCUCGACGCGGCGGCCCGCCAGGCUGGGUUAGGCGCGGCCACGGCGCCUCGGCCUCGUCGCGGCGCGCGGCGCACGGUUCCCCGAGGCGAGCCCACGCCCGCCGCGGCACGGCGACCCGACGGCGCGGCCUCCGCUCGCGGCUCCCGCUCGCCCGCGGUGCUGCGCGGUCCCGGCGGCCCCCGACGGAGGCGAACUCCGUGGGCGUGCGCGCGACCCGGCCACGCUCGGCCUCGCGCGGCGUCCCGACCGCGCGGUCUGGCCACUCCUCUGUCGCGGCCCCACGCACGCGGAUCGAGGUGGGGCCUCGCGGACUCACGCGCAGGAGGCGCACCUCGGCGCCUGGCGGCGGCGGUUGGAGCCGCCCUGGCUCCUCUUGGCGGCGGCGUGUGAUGGGGCUGGGGGGUUAGGGUUUGGAAACCCUAGCCCCUGGCCUUAUAUAUGGCCCAUCUCCCCCUCCCCCAAUUGGGCCGAAUUGGCGGCCCAGGCCCAGGUUGGGGCCUGCGAGCUUUCAGCCUGGGCCACUUAUCAUUGGCUAUUUUAUUUUCUGAAUUAGCUAAUUUCUUUAUUUACAUAGCAUUUUUCAUUCCCUAAAUUACAUCAGUUUAUUAGUCUAACUUUCUUGUAAAUUUAGACACUGAUGUAUAUAUUGCAUUGUAAAUAUUUUUACAUUCCGCAAUCAUAUUAUGAAUGGAAAAUUUACAUGUCGAACGCGUUUUGUCUUUACAAUUCCCUAUCACAUGUAUAUAUGUAAAUAUUUUUAUGGUCAAUUUUUCUUCCUAUUUGGAAUAUUAUUUUUCACUAGAUGUCACCUUACUUUAUUAUUAUUUUGGCGACCACAAGGUAGUACUCAUACUACUGCGGGAUUUAUUCCUCAAAGUGCUCUCCCAAAUUUAAUAAUAAACAUACAAGGACUACAUCCCAAAGUGAAAAUAUAAAAUGGUCUACACCUCCAUGGUGACUACCUAUGUUCCACAAAAUGAGAAAUCAAAAUACCAUAAAACAUAUGCAAGUUUACCUUGCUACACAUAAACAAGUUUACCUUGUUAUUUACAUACGCAAUUUUACAUUGCUUUACAUACGCAAUUUUACAUUGCUUUACAUACGCAAUUUUACAUUGUUUUACAUAUGCAAUUUUACAUUGUUUUUAUAUACACAAUUUACAUUGUUAUAUAAAUAUGCAAUUACACUUUUGUUAAUUUUACAACCCCGAAAUUAAUUAAAUUUAUGCAAAUAAACAUGUAGGCAAUGGCCACCAAAGAGUCCGAUGCCCAAGUUUCUUCUAAGAAGGAAUUUGCCGAGCUAGCUCUUGAUGGACACAACUUCCCUACAUGGGCGAUGGAUCUCAAAGUGAGUCUAUCGUUACGCGGAAUGUAUAGGGCAAUUGACACUCCCAAACAGGGAGAUGCUCCAUUGUCUGAACCAUCCAAGUACCAUGCCUUAUACAUAAUAAGGAACCACAUCCAUUCAGAUCUCAAAGCUGAAUAUCUGAUGGAAGAGGACCCACGGGUUCUCUGGCUUGCUUUGCAACAGCGGUAUGAGCAACAAAAGGCAGUUAUUCUCCCGGAGGCCACUCAUGAGUGGAACCACCUCCGCAUUCAAGAUUUCAAAUAUGUGAAUGAAUAUAACCACGCCAUGCACAAACUCAGUUCCAAACUGAGGUUUUGUGAAAAGGAGCCAUCUGAUGCGGAGAAAAUUGAAAAGACUUUGUCUACCAUGCUUCCCGCUCAAAUGAUCCUCCAACAGCAAUACCGUGAGAGGGGAUUCACAGUCUAUUCUGAUCUCAUUAAAACAUUACUUCAGGCUGAGAGGCACAAUGAGCUCCUCAUAUGGAACUCCAAUCAAGGCCCUGUCGGUGCCAAGCCCUUGCCCGAAGUACAUGCAAAUGCUCAGAAACAGACACCAAAGGAUGCCAACAAGAAUGGCAAUCCUAGAUCCUCCAAAGGCAAAAACAAGCGCAAGGGACCCCGUAAGCCUCGAGGUGCUAAGGGCAAAGGCAACAACUCUAAGUCAAAAGACAAGUCCUCAACUUGUACAAAGUGUGGUUGCUACAACCACCCGACUAAGAAAUGCCGCACCCCUAAGCACCUUGUGGAACUGUACUUGCAUUCCGUGGGACGAGGACGCUCCAACCAAGGACGCUCCAACCAAGGUGGACAACCGUCUGAAGCACACUUCAACGAUCUGGCAGCCCCAGGAUGUUCCAACCCCGCCCCAGCGGGACCGAGCAACACAAUGGCGCCUCUUCCACCCGAUGGCAUGGCAAAUGACUCCACCAACAACAUGAUCAUCGAAUACAAUUCUGAUGAUCUGUUCGGCGACUACAACUAGAUUGAUAGUCAUUUGAGAUUUUAGUUUCGUCAUUCGCCUUUGGGAUUGUAAUAAUUGACAAUUUGUUUUUUUUUUGCUGCACUCUGUUUGAUGUUCAUUGACUUAUGCACAAUUCAACAUCAAUAAAUGUUUAUAUUUCAUAUAUAUUCAUGUUGAGAAUUUCAUUCUCUUUUAUAUUCUCUAUUUUCAUAGAUUGUACGGGAGUCAAUCCGAUGGAUGAGGAAAUGUGCCUAGUGGACAGUGGCACCACUAACUCUAUACUCAGGGAAAUAAAAUAUUUCCAAACUCUCACAAAGAGCAAAGGAAAUGUUUUAACAAUCGCUGGACGCGAUGCAGUAAUAGCAGGCUCUGGUAGAGCCAUUAUUACGCUCCCUAUGGGUACAACGAUUACAAUCGAGGAUGCACUGCUGUAUCCUGAUUCAACUCGUACCUUAUUGAGUUAUAGAGAUAUCCGCAAAAAUGGGUAUCAUAUUGAAACCCAUCACCAAAAUAAUCAGGAGUUCCUCCUCAUUACAAAGGAUAACGGAUAUGGCAGAGAUACUCUCGAAAGAAUUCCCUCAACUUCGUCUGGAUUGUACUAUUCAUACAUAAAACCCGUACAACAUGUUGCGUACAAAGUAAUUUUUCAGAAUGUCAAUGCAUUCCAAACUUGGCAUGAUCGCCUUGGUCACCCUGGCAUAGGGAUGAUGAGAAAAAUUACUAGCAAUUCUGUUGGUCACUCGCUAACCAAUGCAAAGUUUCCCCAAUCCUCAGAUUAUACUUGCACCGCAUGUGCAACAGGGAAAUUAAUUUUGAGGCCCUCUUCCCUCAAAAUCAAAGUUGAACCACUCAACUUCCUUGAACGCAUUCAAGGGGACAUAUGUGGCCCGAUAAAUCCUUUAUCGAGACCGUUCAGGUACUUCAUGGUUCUAAUAGACGCAUCCACACGAUGGUCUCAUGUGUCUCUUCUAUCGACACGAAACCAUGCUUUUGCCAAAAUAAUUGCGCAAGUUAUCAAACUCAAAGCGCAACAUCCUGAACAUCAAAUAAAAUCCAUUAGGAUGGAUAACGCUGCUGAAUUUUCCUCUCGAGCCUUCAAUGACUAUUGCAUGGCCUUAGGAAUACAAGUACAGCAUUCUGUCCCAUAUGUCCACACACAAAAUGGGUUAGCCGAGUCUCUCAUCAAGAGAAUCAAGCUCAUUGCUAGACCGCUAUUGCAGAAUUGCAAUCUACCAACCUCAUGUUGGGGUCAUGCAGUCUUACACGCUGCUGAACUGAUUCAAUUGCGACCAACUGCAUACCAUGCGACGUCUCCAUUGCAACUAGUACAUGGAAAUCCCCCAAGCAUUUCCCAUCUGCGAAAGUUCGGUUGCGCUACAUACGUACCGAUCUCACCACCGAAGCGUACAACAAUGGGCCCCCAAAGAAAAUUGGGGAUCUAUGUGGGAUACAAAUCUCCGUCGAUUAUAAAGUAUCUGGAGCCCACCACAGGGGACCUCUUUACGGCCCGGUACGCUGAUUGUAUCUUCAAUGAAGAUCAUUUUCCGGCAUUAGGGGGAGACUUACCACAUCACAAACAAUGCCAGGAAAUCAAUUGGGAUGCCCCAGACAUACACAACUCAGAUCCACAUACUUCAGAAUCUGAACUCCAAGUUCAGAAAAUCAUAAAUUUGCAACACAUUGCAAACAACGUGCCAGACGCAUUUACUGAUUAUAAGGGUGUUACAAAAUCCUAUAAUCCAGCGAGAAAUGUACCGGAAAGAGUAGAGGUACCAAAUAAAACUACUCAACUCCCUAGUACGAGGGGGAGAAGUACGGCUAUCUCCACGGAUACAGCUUCUAGCAAGCAAAGGAAACGGAAGACAAAAUCUUCUGAUCCAGUAAAUGCAGCUCAACCUCAUGUUGAGAAACACCCAGUGGAGGUUCAACCUUUACAUCCCACAUCAACAGUGCACUCAAUUACUGAUGCUGGGACAUCGGAAUACCCUGAUGCGACCAUCUUGGGAAAUGAUGAUGCAUCGGAAAGGGUCCACGAAAUUUCCAUCAACUAUGCAGAAACUGGAGAGUCAUUUGAUAGAAAGACUACAAUUGUCGACUCAUAUUUCUCCGCAAUGAUUGCCGAAAUCCUUGAAAAUGAUCCAGAUCCUAAGACCAUGGCAGAGUGCAAAACGCGCUCGGACUGGAACCAAUGGAAGGAUGCAAUCCAAGCAGAAAUAUCCUCGCUCACAAAAAGACAGGUAUUCUCACAAGUAAUACCUACACCUCCACAAGUAUUCCCUGUGGGAUUCAAGUGGGUUUUCGUCCGAAAGCGGAACGAGAACAAUGAGGUGGUGAGAUACAAAGCGAGGCUUGUAGCACAAGGGUUCACGCAGAGACCCGGCAUUGACUUCAAUGAAACAUACUCUCCAGUCAUGGGUGGAAUAACAUUCCGAUACUUAAUCUCUCUGGCUGUACAAAAUCGUCUGUCUAUGCAGUUGAUGGACGUAGUGACUGCAUAUCUCUAUGGGUCACUCGAUUCGGACAUAUACAUGAAGGUUCCCGACGGAAUCCCAAUACUGAAUCAAAACGCAAAUCGCAACAUGUAUUGUGUAAAGCUACAGAAAUCACUCUAUGGCUUAAAGCAGUCGGGAAGAAUGUGGUAUAACCGACUCAGCGAGUACCUUCUGCAGAAGGGCUACUCCAACAGUGAUGAUUGCCCAUGUGUCUUCAUCAAGAAAUCCCAAACGGGAUUCUGCAUCAUAUCGGUGUAUGUUGAUGAUUUAAAUAUCAUCGGCCACAAACAAGAUAUUGAUGAGGCAUGCAAACAUCUUAAGACGGAGUUCGAGUUGAAGGAUUUGGGUAAAACCAAAUUCUGCUUAGGCCUACAGCUUGAGCAUCUUUCAACUGGAAUCUUUGUGCAUCAAUCUGCAUAUGUCCAGAAAGUAUUGGAGAGAUUCAAUAUGGACAAAGCAUAUCCUUCCAAAACCCCUAUGGUUGUUCGGUCUUUGGGACUAAACACUGAUCCAUUCAGACCACAAGAUGAGGGGGAGGAAAUCCUAGGACCUCAUGUCCCAUACCUUAGUGCCGUCGGAGCACUGAUGUACCUUGCCAAUAGCACCAGGCCUGACAUCGCUUUCGCAGUGAAUUUGCUAGCAAGGCACAGUGCCGCUCCUACCAAGAGACAUUGGACAGGAGUAAAACAGAUCCUCAGAUAUGUUAAUGGCACAAGGGAUCUCGGAUUAUUCUUCCAAAGAGGAACAAAUUCCGAGAUGAUAGGAUACACCGAUGCUGGAUAUCAAUCAGACCCCCAUAAUGGCAGAUCACAAACCGGUUUCGUAUUCUUACAAAACGGAACCGCCAUAUCAUGGACAUCAUCCAAGCAAACCUUGGCAACAACGUCCACGAAUCAUUCUGAAAUAGUCGCAUUAUAUGAGGCCUCACGUGAAUGCGUUUGGCUUCGCAGAAUGAUCAACCACAUACAGCAGUCGUGUGGUCUUAAAGCUAUCAUAGCUCCAACCAUUAUCUAUGAAGAUAAUGCUGCUUGUGUUACACAGAUGGAGACAGGCUAUAUCAAGAGCAAUAUCAACAAACACAUCUCUCCAAAGUUGUUCUAUCCUCAUGAAUUACAACAAAAAGGAGAGAUUGAUAUCUUGAAAACCAAAUCAUGCGACAAUCUCGCUGAUCUAUUCACUAAGUCCCUACCAGCUUCCUCAUUUGAAAAAUGUGUCAAAGGAUGUAUGCGACGACUUAGGGAUUUACAAAGUUCAGGGGGAGAAAUCUCCUAGACAUUGGCCUGUCUACACCAUCAUAUUAUACUCUUUUCUCUCUAUGAGUUUUUCCUCACAAGGUUUCUCAUAAGGAGAUUUUAAUGAGAUAAUAUUAACACAAGAGUGUCAUAUUCCUUGUUUUCCCCACAGGGGUUUUUAAAGGAGUAUCAAAGACACAUAUUGUCCUCUAAACUACAAUAUGAGUUUUCUCCUGCAAAGGUUUUCUCAUAUUAGUUUACAAUGAGGCAAUCAUUAAGUGCUAUAACUUUCUCCUUCUUUUCCCAAGCGGUUUUAAGGAGUUUUACCAUAGCACAUAUACACACGUAUUUUUCCUCGUUUUUAUCCUACAGGAAUUUUUGGAGGAGCAAUACAAUUCAUUGAUCUCAACAAGUGAUUCGAUCAAGGGGGAGUGUUACGGAUAUUUUCCGGGGUGAUCUCAUCUCCUCGGAUUCCCUUUACGGGAGAUCUAUCCUAACUACGACUUCCUCCACGACGGCCUACGGGAUAUCACCCACGACUACGCACGUAUCCGUGGAGACCGGUUCCACCUCCGUGAUAUCACCCACGACUCAUCGUGGGCACGAGUUUACUUGGGGC